rnacentral:rRNA from 1 species
GGAACGUGCCCAGUCGUGGGGGAUAACGUAGAGAAAUUUACGCUAAUACCGCAUACGAUCUAAGGAUGAAAGCGGGGGACCGUAAGGCCUCGCGCGAUUGGAGCGGCUGAUAUCAGAUUAGGUUGUUGGUGAGGUAAAAGCUCACCAAGCCGACGAUCUGUAGCUGGUUUGAGAGAACGACCAGCCACACUGGGACUGAGACACGGCCCAGACUCCUACGGGAGGCAGCAGUGGGGAAUUUUGGACAAUGGGCGAAAGCCUGAUCCAGCAAUGCCGCGUGCAGGAAGAAGGCCUUCGGGUUGUAAACUGCUUUUGUACGGAACGAAAAGGUCUGCCUUAAUACGGCGGGCCCAUGACGGUACCGUAAGAAUAAGCACCGGCUAACUACGUGCCAGCAGCCGCGGUAAUACGUAGGGUGCGAGCGUUAAUCGGAAUUACUGGGCGUAAAGCGUGCGCAGGCGGUGAUGUAAGACAGUUGUGAAAUCCCCGGGCUCAACCUGGGAAUUGCAUCUGUGACUGCAUCGCUAGAGUACGGUAGAGGGGGAUGGAAUUCCGCGUGUAGCAGUGAAAUGCGUAGAUAUGCGGAGGAACACCGAUGGCGAAGGCAAUCCCCUGGACCUGUACUGACGCUCAUGCACGAAAG